GGUUCUAUGGUGUAAUGGUAAGCACUCUGGACUUUGAAUCCAGCGAUCUGAGUUCAAAUCUCGGUAGGACCA
rnacentral:tRNA from 1 species